GUCUUGAUAGAGAGAAGAGUCGGCUCAUUGGGGAGAAUGGUCGGCUCAUUGGGGAGAAUGGUAAGUGAUAUCCAGUUUAUCACUAUGUGAGGAUGUUGAAGCACAACUGUCAUGGUAGAACAGCUGUGCAGCGUGGUGGAACUGUCAGCAGGAUUCCUACAGAGUGGAUUUAACUGCACUGUCAGGACAGGAUCAUGUAUAGAAAGGUUAACAUAUUCUUAAAAGGCUAAUGUUUUGAGAUGGUCAGUGUAUGUUCUUAUCGGAUAAUAUUGUACAUUUAAAAAAAACUGACUAAUUGUAAACUCAUAUUAUACAUCAGUUGCUACUGCAGAGUGGUCUUAAGAUAAGCUGUAAAGUGGUGUUAAAUCACAACUGUUAACAAAAGACUUCUGAUGAACAGUUACUAGAGUACAGUAGGUAGUGGUAGGGUGCCCUUACAGCUGGUCACUAUAGAUCCAAGUUCUUAUUCAGAUUCUGGUGUUUAUAUGUCUGAUG